UUUGACACAAGGUGCCCCUGGGAGCCCAAAGUGGGCCCACGUGCGAGCACGCUUCUCGAGGCGAUGGAGGAGUUGACUGGACGAAGACCAAGUGGACCCCACGCAGGCACGCUUCCCGAGGCAAACAGGCGAAAUUUUGCAGACGAAGGUCGGGUUAACGAGCGAGCAAGUUCGAGAGAGAUCAACGGUGCGCGCUAUUUCGCGAAGGGAAGAUGCACGUCGUUUAGACCCCGCGAAAUAGCGAAAGUGAACGAGAGCCGUCCACGUGGCACCCAGUGGCGAUGACGUGGCAUACAAGCAAGCAACUCAGUGGCGGUGACGUGGCCGACAAGUGGCAAAAGAUGAGGUGUCAUCCCAGGUGGCGCCCAGUAGACCCCAUCAGCCAAUCAGACCCCGCCACGUGGCAAGGCGUCAGAGCACAUAUGGAGGCAAAAAUCAAAUUUUAAAUAAUUAAAUGAUAUAGUUUAAACUAUAGAGAAAUUCGAAAAAUUUAAAUGAUGGGUCCGUGUUGAGGAUUAAUUCGCCCAGGGCUCAAAUUUUU